GAUACACGGCUUUGUUAUGACUGAGUACAACAUGCACUGGAUCAGACAGAAACCAGGGAAAGCUCUGGAAUGGGUUGGAUAUGUGAACUCCGUAGUCUAACUGUACCUCUGUACUGUAAGUUUGGCUUUAACAGCUUCAGCCAUGUUCAUAUUCACCUUCUCAUAACAGAAACCAAGAAAUUUGCAGACAUGAGAAUCAUUUCUGUGUUAAUGUAAUUCUCUAGAGUGCAGCCUACACAUGACUGAUAACGACAUAAAGGAUCGUUUAUCUAAUUAUUAACAUUUUCAUGGAUUAUGGUGGAGAUUAGGAUUAAUUUGAGGGAACUGGAAAUAGAUAGUUUUUCAAUCUGACCAUCACAGGAAGCGUUAAUUACAUCACAACACGUUCAUAUCAUUAUUAAUAAUAACAAACAGCUGAAUUAUUUCCCACAUUAAAUUGAUAUGGAGAUGAAACGGGGUGUGAGUGUGAUUAACAGCUGCAGAGCUGCACUCAACACAGCCUCUCUGUAAUGUUUAUGCAAAUCUGCAUCUCCUCUUGUAAUAUUAGCAGCGUUCUGAUCUAGAGAGGAAACACUUCUCAUUAGUCUUCCUUCAACACAAACAUGUUUGCUUCAGCUCCACUGCUGCUGCUGGCUCUCGCCCCCUAUGUGUUCUGUGCUACUGAGCUCAUCCAGCCAGACUCACUGCUUAUAAAGCCAGUAGAGACUUUAACCAUCACCUGUAAAGUGUCUGGAGCUUCUAUCACUGAUAGCAGCAGCCACUAUGGAACAGCUUGGAUUCGACAACCUGCAGGAAAAGCUUUAGAAUGGAUCAAUUUAAUCUAUUUUACUGGGAGUAUUAUUAAUAAAGAUUCACUUAAAGACAAGUUUGUGGUCUCUCGAGACACUUCCAGUAACUCUGUGACCUUACGGGGACAGAACAUGCAGACUGAAGACACAGCUGUGUAUUACUGCGCUCGUGAUCCACACAGUGACACAACAAGCUGCAGUGCUGCACAAAAACCUCAUCACAAUUCACUUCUUUAAUUAAAUAACAACUACAUUUUACUGAGUAACUAAUCCCCAUAUUACAAACACUUUAUACAUUAUUUAAAUACUUAUAAAACAAUUAGGAAUACAUUGAAUUAUAAAUUGUUUGAGAACAAUUAAUUAGAAGAUAAACUAUCUGCAGUGUUUGAUAUUAUGAAGAUUUCUGUAAAGAGAAUGUUUAUUUCGUGUUGUUGGAAGGAGUCUCCAGUGUCAGAGCGAGAUCAGGGUUAAAGCUGUGACUUUAUUUUCAGCAUGAUAAAGUCUUCAGGAAAGGAAAUUUGUACUUUUUCCUCAGUAUCAGGACAAAUCUUGAGGGAAGGACUGUUUCUAGCUGUAAUAAUGAACACGAUAACAGGAAAUAACUUGUUUUUCUGGCCCUAACACAAGAUUAAAAAUAACUAUAAAUAAAUAAGAAAAGAAAAGAAAAAUUGUAAAUGGUGAUGAAUAAAAUACUUCAUGU